rnacentral:rRNA from 1 species
UGGGGAAUCUUGCACAAUGGACGAAAGUCUGAUGCAGCGACGCCGCGUGGAGGAUGAAGGUUUUCGGAUUGUAAACUCCUGUUAAGUGGGAAGAAAUCUUUGCGAGUAAUAUGCGCAGAGGAUGACGGUACCACUAGAGAAAGCUCCGGCUAACUUCGUGCCAGCAGCCGCGGUAAUACGAAGGGAGCAAGCGUUAUUCGGAAUCACUGGGCGUAAAGAGCGUGUAGGCGGUAAGCUAAGUCGAUUGUUAAAUUCCCUGGCUUAACUAGGGUUCAGCUAUUGAUACUGGUUUGCUAGAGGGCAAGAGAGAGAAGUGGAAUUCUCGGAGUAGCGGUAAAAUGCAUAGAUCUCGAGAGGAACACCGGUUGCGAAGGCGGCUUCUUGGCUUGUACCUGACGCUAAAGCGCGAAAGCGUGGGGAGCAAACA